rnacentral:rRNA from 1 species
UAACCUGCCCAAGAGAUCGGGAUAACACCUGGAAACAGAUGCUAAUACCGGAUAACAACAGAUGAUGCCUAUCAACUGUUUAAAAGAUGGUUCUGCUAUCACUCUUGGAUGGACCUGCGGUGCAUUAGCUAGUUGGUAGGGUAACGGCCUACCAAGGCGAUGAUGCAUAGCCGAGUUGAGAGACUGAUCGGCCGCAUUGGGACUGAGACACGGCCCAAACUCCUACGGGAGGCAGCAGGA